AACGAACGCUGGCGGCAUGCCUAACACAUGCAAGUCGAACGAGACCUUCGGGUCUAGUGGCGCACGGGUGCGUAACGCGUGGGAACCUGCCCUUAGGUUCGGAAUAACUCCCCGAAAGGGGUGCUAAUACCGGAUAAUGUCUUCGGACCAAAGAUUUAUCGCCUUUGGAUGGGCCCGCGUUGGAUUAGCUAGUUGGUAGGGUAAAAGCCUACCAAGGCGACGAUCCAUAGCUGGUCUGAGAGGAGGAUCAGCCACACUGGGACUGAGACACGGCCCAGACUCCUACGCGAGGCAGCAGUGGGGAAUAUUGGACAAGGGGCGAAAGCCUGAUCCAGCAAUGCCGCGUGAGUGAUGAAGGCCUUAGGGUUGUAAAGCUCUUUUACCCGGGAUGAUAAUGACAGUACCGGGAGAAUAAGCACCGGCUAACUCCGUG
rnacentral:rRNA from 1 species